UACGCUGGCGGCACGCCUAACACAUGCAAGUCGAACGAAGUAGCAAUACUUAGUGGCAAACGGGUGAGUAAUAUGUGGGAAUCUACCCUUCGGUCUGGAAUAACAUGAGGAAACUUAUGCUAAUACUGGAUAAGCCUUUACAGGGAAAGCUUUAUGCUCCGAUUGAUGAGUCCACACUUGAUUAGUUAGUUGGUGAGGUAAUAGCUCACCAAGACAAUGAUCAAUAGCUGAUUUGAGAGGAUGAUCAGCCACAUUGGGACUGAGACACGGCCCAAACUCCUACGGGAGGCAGCAGUGGGGAAUUUUGCACAAUGGGGGAAACCCUGAUGCAGCGAUGCCGCGUGAGUGAAGAAGGCCCUUGGGUUGUAAAACUCUUUCGUCGGGGAAGAAAAUGACUGUACCCGAAUAAGAAGGUCCGGCUAACUUCGUGCCAGCAGCCGCGGUAAUACGAAGGGACCUAGCGUAGUUCGGAAUUACUGGGCUUAAAGAGCUCGUAGGUGGUUAGAAAAGUUGAUGGUGAAAUCCCAAGGCUUAACCUUGGAACUGCCAUCAAAACUUUUUAGCUAGAGUGUGAUAGAGGAAAGUGGAAUUUCUAGUGUAGAGGUGAAAUUCGUAGAUAUUAGAAAGAACACCAAUUGCGAAGGCAGCUUUCUGGAUCAUUACUGACACUGAGGAGCGAAAGCAUGGGUAGCGAAGAGGAUUAGAUACCCUCGUAGUCCAUGCCGUAAACGAUGUGUGCUAGACGUUGGAAAUUUAUUUUUCAGUGUCGCAGCGAAAGCGUUAAGCACACCGCCUGGGGAGUACGACCGCAAGGUUAAAACUCAAAUGAAUUGACGGGGACCCGCACAAGCAGUGGAGCAUGUGGUUUAAUUCGAAGAUACGCGCAGAACCUUACCAACACUUGACAUGUUCGUCGCGACUUUAAGAGAUUAAAGUCUUCGGUUCGGCCGGACGAAACACAGGUGCUGCAUGGCUGUCGUCAGCUCGUGUCGUGAGAUGUUGGGUUAAGUCCCGCAACGAGCGCAACCCUUACUUUUAGUCGCCACCAUUUAGUUGAGCACUCUGAAAGAACUGCCAGUGAUAAACUGGAGGAAGGUGGGGAUGACGUCAAGUCCUCAUGGCCCUUAUGUGUUGGGCUACACACGUGCUACAAUGGCACUUACAAUAGGAAGCAAAGAGGCGACUCUGAGCAAAUCCUUAAAAAGUGCCUCAGUUCGGAUUGUACUCUGCAACUCGAGUACAUGAAGCUGGAAUUGCUAGUAAUCGCGGAUCAGCGCGCCGCGGUGAAUACGUUCCCGGGUCUUGUACACACCGCCCGUCACACCAUGGAAGUUGGUUCUACCUUAAGGCAAAGCAUAAAACCUUUGACCACGGUAUAGUCAGCG
rnacentral:rRNA from 1 species